ACCACGUUACUGCAACGUCAUCAAAAUAUGCGUGUCAACAAAUUACCAACAUGGUAGCCUACCUUCCUUGAAAACAUAGCAUAUUUCUAAUAGUAAACUAAGGGCUCUUUGUUUUACGGCCGUAUCAUCUUUGAAGCAUCUACUUACUUCGUGUGAAAUUCUUGUGUAAUUUCACUUAUUUUUUUACUCAACUUGCUGAAUUCAAGACGUUGAUCUCUGAAUAGAAUGCCGCCGAAAAAAAUCCCCCAUCAGCCGGAUAAGUUUAUCGGAUACGAAAAGGUAACCGGACUAAUUGAAUGCAAUUUUUUCGAGUUUUUGAACGACAAGCAAGCGGCCAUGGUCAUGUUCUACAACCCCGAGUGCCACGGCUGCAAGGAGUCGAGGAGCCACUACAUCCGUGCGGCCAAGACCACCAAAGUGGAGGGCCACGGCUACGCCGCUGUCGACUGCACUCAGGAGAUCGAGCUUUGCAAGCGAGAGGGCGUUUCCCGCCUCCCGACCUUUCAAAUGUACGUCGAGGGCCAGUUUGUGAGUCGCCGGGACUACCCUCUGGACUACAUUCGGAUGAAGGACUUCAUUGACCAAGCGCUCACCGUGAAGGCUAUCAAGAAACCACCACCUGUAGAUCCCCCCUGCCCCAAAAAAAAGGCAACCUAACCAGUCUGUUUGUUUAAAAGCUUUCAAUUUAUCAUGUGCAUAUCUAUAUAUAAUACUAAAAAUGUUCUGUUCAACCUUUUUCUGUGGAAAUUCAUCGGAAGGAAACUGUUCUCGUGUCUACUACAAUGUAAAAAAAACUAUUCGUAUAUUUUGAACAUUCACUUAUUUUUUUCAAGUUUUCAUGAUGUGAUUUGCCACGAUGAGAACACUUUAUUCACGGGGAUGGAUAGCUUUAAAAGUUCACUGUUUCUUGUCGUGUUUUCUGGCCAUUGUAAGGAAACUCUCUGCUACAAAUUUGGACUCAAUGAAAAGUCAUUUGACUUACCACAGACUCUAUUCCCAUCAUGGGCUGUUUAUUAGCUGUGAACAUAAUCAUUCAGGAAUUCAUCAGUUUUGUCUUCUAAAAAACAAACUCAAAAUAUUUUAAAAUUUAUAAUAAACUUAUAAUUAACUAUUUUAAGUGUGUAUAUAUAAAUAUCUUAUAAUGCUAGCUGCAUGAACAUUUCUUAAUAAAUUAUCUUUCAAUGUAUAAAUAAAAAACAUUGCUUUUUUAUAAAUGAAUACACAAUUAUUUUAAAAAUG